CCUACGGGUGGCAGCAGUGAGGAAUAUUGGUCAAUGGGCGCGAGCCUGAACCAGCCAAGUCGCGUGAAGGAUGACUGCCCUACGGUUUGUAAACUUCUUUUAUAAAGGAAUAAAGUGAGGCACGUGUGCCUUUUUGUAUGUACUUUAUGAAUAAGGAUCGGCUAACUCCGUGCCAGCAGCCGCGGUAAUACGGAGGAUCCGAGCGUUAUCCGGAUUUAUUGGGUUUAAAGGGAGCGUAGGUGGGUUGUUAAGUCAGUUGUGAAAGUUUGCGGCGCAACCGUAAAAUUGCAAUUGAUACUGGCAGCCUUGAGUGCAGUUGAGGUAGGCGGAAUUCGUGGUGUAGCGGUGAAAUGCUUAGAUAUCACGAAGAACUCCGAUUGCGAAGGCAGCUUACUAAACUGCCACUGACAUUGAGGCUCGAAAGUGUGGGUAUCAAACAGGAUUAGAUACCCCAGUAGUC
rnacentral:rRNA from 1 species